rnacentral:rRNA from 1 species
UUACCUUAGGGUUUCCUCUGGGGUAAGUGAUUGCUUCUACACUGGUGAAAAUUUGGCUGAGAGACUCAGACUGGGUCAUGGGUAGACCUAUCUGGGGUUUGAUCGAUGCCACUCCUAGGUUUCAGGAGCACCCUUCAUAAUAAACCUAGAAAUUCAGUAUUAUAAAGUUUAAUAAAAAACAACUUUUAACAAUGGAUCUCUUGGUUCUCGCAUCGAUGAAGAACGUAGCAAAGUGCGAUAACUAGUGUGAAUUGCAUAUUCAGUGAAUCAUCGAGUCUUUGAACGCAGCUUGCACUCUAUGGUUUUUCUAUAGAGUACGCCUGCUUCAGUAUCAUCACAAACCCACACAUAACAUUUGUUUAUGUGGUAAUGGGUCGCAUCGCUGUUUUAUUACAGUGAGCACCUAAAAAUGUGUGUGAUUUUCUGUCUGGCUUGCUAGGCAGGAAUAUUACGCUGGUCUCAGGAUCUUUUUCUUUGGUUCGCCCAGGAAGUAAAGGUACAAGAGUAUAAUCCAGCAACUUUCAAACUAUGAUCUGAAGUCAGGUGGGAUUACCCGCUGAACUUAAGC